GUACGCUCGUGUGUAAUAGCAUGGAACAGAUAACUGACCUACCGAAUUUACUUUCGGCAGCCAAAUUGUAUUUGUAUGGUUUGGUUGGAUUGACUUGUUGGUUGUUAGUCAGGUCGCAUCGAUUAAAAGGGACGUUUGAGGGCAUUGGUACUUUGUGGCGAGAGGUGAAAUUCUUAGACCCACAAAAGACUGACUGGUGCGAAAGCGUUUGUCAAGAGUGUUUUCUUUAAUCAAGAACGAAGGAGAUAGGUUCGAAGACGAUCAGAUACCGUCCUAGUUGUCUCAGAUAACGAUGCUAGCACAGGAUCAGGUCGACCACCCUUGGAUGGGAAGAGUCAACUUGAUCCUGCCGGGAAACCUCAAGCUUUCGAGUUACGGGGAGAGUAUAGCUUCAAGGCGGGAAUUUAAAGAAAUUGACGGAGAGGCACCACCAGGAGUGGAGCCUGCGGCUUAAUUUGACUCAACACGGGGAAACUCACCAGGUCCAGACAUUGGCAGGAUUGACAGGCUGGUAGACCUUUCAUGAUUCGGUGGAUGGUGGUGCAUGGCCGUUCUUAGUUGGUGGAGUGAUCUGUCAGGUCUAUUCCGGUAACGAGCGAGACCGCGGUCAGUAGUUUUCAGAAGCCAGGUUGACUCGCGUCCCAGGCCAUUUAUAUACUGUAUAAGUGGUUUUGGCUGGUUUUUGGACUACUGAGACUACUGGACUUUAAGCCAGAGGAAGCGUGGCAAUAACAGGUCUGUGAUGCCCUUCGAUGUCCUGGGCUGCACGCGCGCUACAAUGGCAGCAGUAGAGAGUGGUUGGCUAGAGAUGGCCGACUAACCUGCAAAUAGCUGUCGUGAUAGGGAUUGUGCCUUGGAAUUAUUGCACAUGAAAGAGGAAUUCCUCGUAAGCACUGGUCAUCAGCCAGUGUUGAAUACGUCUCUGCCUCUUGUACACACCGCCCGUCGCUACUACCGAUUGAAUAUCAUCUAGAGCUGGUUGGACGACCGCUUUUUUUAAAAGCGUGUUGAAAGAUCGACGAUGGAUGUUAUU
rnacentral:rRNA from 1 species